rnacentral:rRNA from 1 species
AUGGGGACUCAUUCUUUCAUCACACGCUUCUUGGCAGAUUUGAGUAUUGCCUUCUUGUCACAUGAAAUAACGAAGCCAAGAACAACUCCAGUGCGGGUUGAAGAUUGGAUACCACCACCGGUAGGUCACCACAAGGUAAACGUCGAUGCAGCUAUCUGUAAACAUCCUCCCGUAGGGGCUGUGAGCGAGGUAUGUCGGGAUCAGUCAGGAGCAUUCGCUGGGUCAGCAACGGUAGUUUUCCAUGGUAUGACCGAUCCGAACAUCUUGGAGGCUCUUGCAUGCCGAGAGGCUACUGCAUUAGCCAGGGAUCUCGCACUGACUCAUUUUAUGGUGGCUUCAGAUUGCCUUUCGCUGGUCAAGGAUAUACAAACUGGAACUAUGGACACAAUCGCUCCAAUCGUGCAGGAGAUCAUCGACUCAAGUAGGGAUUUCCAGUCCUGCUCUUUCACCCAUGAGAGACGCCUUUCCGACAAGGAGGCUCAUGGCUUAGCUAGACAUGCUUUACAUUUAGGGGAGGGUCGCCAUGUGUGGAUGUUACACCCUCAUAAUACUUCUAUUAUUCCUGUAUUUCACUCUAUUGAUCAAUAA